rnacentral:lncRNA from 1 species
UCGAAUCCAUUGCAGAAGUAAUUGACGAAAAUGCUUGUCUUGAAUCUAUUAGCUUCUGCAAUUGUGGUAUUAAAUCUUUACCGCAAGGAUUAGACAAGCUCAACCAUCUUCGGAGUAUUGAAAUAAAUAGAUGUUCAAAUCUAGUCUCGUUGGAAGGGUUUUUGCCCACCACCAAUUUGACUAACCUUUGGAUCUCUGAAUGUGAAAAUUUGCGAGCCCUGCCCAAUUGCAUGCCCAACCUCACGUCUCUUCGAGAAUUGACGGUUUGGAAUAAGUCAGGUGAUCAGAUAUCCAUUCCAGAAGAGGGUAUCUCUGCCAACCUCACAUCACUUAAAAUCUCAGUACCAAGAAAUUAUGAGUCUCUAAUUAAGUGGGGAUUGCAUAGACUCACCUCUCUUAAAACACUUGAUAUUUCUGGGAGAGGAUGUCCGAAUAUGGUGGCGUUCC